UACGUAGGGCGCAAGCGUUGUCCGGAAUUAUUGGGCGUAAAGAGCUCGUAGGCGGUCUGUCGCGUCGGAUGUGAAAGCCCGGGGCUCAACCCCCGGAACUGCUUUUGAAACUGUCGAACUAGAGUGCAGAAGAGGCAACCGGAAUUCCCAGUGUAGCGGUGAAAUGCGUAGAUAUUGGGAGGAACACCAGUGGCGAAGGCGGCUCACUGGACCGGAACUGACGCUGAGGCGCGAAAGCGUGGGGAGCAAACAGG
rnacentral:rRNA from 1 species